CACUGCUCUGAGCCUACAAAUUACCGCCCUCCACAGCGUUGUGGCUGACAAAAGGGGAGGUUCAAAGCAGACUAAUUUGUACAAUAUAUGGAAAGAAUAAAUGUGGGGACAGGCUGGAAGAGAAAAAGAAGUAACCUCAGACAAAUGCCUUAAGUAACUUUGAGCUGAAACAAAUGACUUGGCUUUGAGAAAGAAUGAAAAAUGUUUGCUAUAUUUUUUUUAAGUGAAAACAAACCAGAGGGCAUACUAAGCUCAAAAAAAAAAAAAAAAAAACCAAAACAACUCAGUUGAGCACAUUCACAUCUUGACUGGAUGAUACAUAGCACACCCUCAGCAAAAUGACCAUUUUCAUUAAAUCAAUAUGAAGGACAGUCCUUUUGCAUAUUAAAAACUGUUGGGCAAGCUGAAAUUAGAACAAAGCUGAUUAAAAGUAAAACUUUGUUGCGUUCAAUCUUUUCAUCCUUUUUAUCACUGUUUUGAUCAUUCUGUUCCUUGGUGUCUUGUUUCUAUUAAUGUGGGCAUAGGGUGUGCAACAGAAAAAAAGCAAAUAUAAUAAAAACCAGAUCAGCUGUCAUCACCUUAGUCUGUAAUCACUUAAAAAUAAUGAGGCUAGAUAGACUGAAAAAAAGUAGAGAUAACAAAUGGUAGGAUCUUUUUAAAAAUUCUAUUACAGGGGGAAAAAACUCAAACCUGUAAAAGAGAAGAGGUACAAAGGAUUGUAACCUGCAAGAUGUGAAUCUGCACUCUCUUGCUGAUGCAGCUCAAGUUUUGGCACAUGAAUCAUUUUAUGAUUGCGUAGGAGGCUUCCCAAACAAGAGCAGAUAGGUGUCCAUAACAAGAUGUAAUAGACCUGAAUCACCACUAUCUGUAGAUUGUGUGAAAUCUUUUUCAUAAGAAAUGAAUGAGACUUUUAUGUACGCCAGAUAAUAGUGAAUAGUUUGUAGCAGAACCACUGAAAGAUGCAAUAAAAAUCUCUCUAAUCUACUACUCAUGUCUUUGUACCCAUUAGAUCUCUGCCUAAAGGAUGGUCUAAAAUAUGGGUUAAUGCAUAAUUGUUUCAAUUUGGGAAUGAAGCCAUGCAUCAUCCUAUUUUAUUUACUGAAAAUACUAAUUUGAGGACAUAAAUUAUACUUAUUUUGCUCAAAACCUCUGUUGACUCUUUGAUGUAUUUGCAGAUUUGAUUUAUUACACUUGGCCAAACUUUCUUCAUCCCUGACUGCCGUGAACCUGUGAGCUGUCUCUGCGAGGACCAGAGAAGUCCGCUAAUAAGUUGUAAGGAACUGUCGGACAUCUGUGUAGGAAACCUUUGUGCCUACACCCUUUCCAUCCUUCAUCUGCUACGUGCAAGGCUUCCACGAUGUCCUGAUAGACCAACACAGGCACUUCCAUAGACUAAGGAAAGAGCACCAAGUGGUAACAAACUCAUGCUUGAAUUUCUGUUACCAAAGUAAAUGGCAAUCAAAUGAACUGA